rnacentral:rRNA from 1 species
AACGAACGCUGGCGGCAGGCCUAACACAUGCAAGUCGAACGCUCCGCAAGGGGAGUGGCAGACGGGUGAGUAACACGUGGGAAUCUUCCUGUUGGUGCGGAAUAGCUCAGGGAAACUUGGGGUAAUACCGCAUAAGCCCGAGAGGGGAAAGAUUUAUCGCCGACAGAUGAGCCCGCGUCUGAUUAGCUAGUUGGUGAGGUAACGACUCACCAAGGCGACGAUCAGUAGCUGGUCUGAGAGGAUGACCAGCCACACUGGGACUGAGACACGGCCCAGACUCCUACGGGAGGCAGCAGUGGGGAAUAUUGGACAAUGGGCGCAAGCCUGAUCCAGCCAUGCCGCGUGAGUGACGAAGGUCUUCGGAUUGUAAAGCUCUUUUGCCAGGGACGAUAAUGACGGUACCUGGAGAAUAAGCCCCGGCUAACUUCGUGCCAGCCGCCGCCGUAACAC